UACAGAGAGUGACUAUAUCCACUGCAACAUCUCUCUGGGGUGCUCAUUAAUAACACCACUCUGGGGAGCUGAUGUAUAUACAGAGCAUAGUAAAGGAGACAGAAGGUUAAAUGUGUACGUGACUGUCUGCGUGUGUGUUAUGUGGCUCUGUCCUCUUGGAAACACAAGGUGGGCUAGCCAGCAUGUCAGCCAAUCCCCAGCUGAGAAGAGAGCAGAAACAACAACCAGCCACCCAACCAAACAUGCAUUUAGUAAGCAAGCUGCCAGUCAGGUGAUUCACCAUCUGCCAAACACCAGUCAGUCAGCCAAGUGGUGUUCUUCCUCACGCUUACAGUGGAUAAUGAAAUAAACAUUUCUUUCUGUCUGUCUUGGGUUAGAUACAUUAAACAUCUCACAUGAGGAGCCAGUGUUGUGCUCUGUUCCUCAGCACAGCAGCCCUGUCCAUGUCCAUGCAUGCUAAAACCCUCUUUCCUUUUCUCACAGUGCCACACAUACAGUAACGGUGACGCAGCUUUUACUCUUCUGUCUCUGUUCUUGUUCGUGUAGCUUUAGAUGUACGAGCAUGAUCAGGGCACGGCAUGGAAUCUGACCGAGAGACUGAAAAAAUAUAUUUGUGACUGAUUUGAAUCUCAGACACGUCGGCACAAUCUGAAUGCAGAACAAUGAGCGGUGAAUGCAUCGUCUUUUCUCAGCAGAUAUUAGUGUUGUCACGAUACCAAAAUUCUGACUUCGAUACGAUACCCUGCCUAAAUAUCUCGAUACUGAUACUGAAACGAUACCACGGCAAAAAUCGAAAACAUCAGGACAAAUAAUGGAAUAAUAGAUGACAGAACAUGGACUUACUUUAUUU